GUCAUCGCGGUGCGCCGCCGGGCGCUGGGUGCAGCAGGCCAUGGCUGAGCUGGGUCGGGUUGUCGUGCGCGACCCGGCCUCCCUGCUCCCGGGGGGCUUCUGGGCGGGGGUGGCCGUGUGGCUGGAGAGGCCACAGGUGGCGAACAAGCGGCUGUGUGGCGUCCGCCUGGAGGCCCGGCGGAGCGCCACCCUACCCCGAGCCGAGGCCCGCGGCCCCGGGCCGAACGCAGGCCCCGAGCAGGAGGAGCAGGCCGGGGCGGGAUGCCGACCGGAGGAGGGCCCGGGACCCGGCCAGCGUUUCCCCGAGGAGGGGCCGGGCCCCAGGCCGAGCGCAGGGCCCGCGGAGUCCCAGGGCCGGCGGCAGCAAGGGGAGGCCCAGAGGAAAGCAGCCGCAGCGCCUCUGCUCUCAGGGGCCCCUGAGCAGCGCGGCAAGGCUGGAGCCGGGGAGGGCGACUUCGCCGCCUUGCAUCUGGAUUCUCUCUGGGACGAUUUCUCCCAAAGUCUCGCCGGCGGCAACCGAGAGUUGCUAACCUUCCUCUCCGGCUCUGGGGCCGAAUCGCAGCCAGAGGCUCAGCACGAGCUCGACGUGGUUCUCAGAACCGUCAUCCCGAAAACGAGCCCCCACUGCCCGCUUGGUGGCCCGAGGAAAGAAAUAGUCGUGCAAGAUGUCCUCAAUGGAACAGUAACGUUUUUGCCUCUGGAAGAAGGUGACGAAGGCAACCUGAAGGUUAAGAUGAGCAAUGUGUAUCAAAUUCAGCUCAGCCAGAACGAAGGAGAGUGGUUCAUAUCUGUUUUAAUUUUCUGUCCAGAAAGAUGGCAUUCAGAUGGAAUUGUUUAUCCCAAACCCACCUGGCUUGGAGAAGAGCUGCUGGCCAAGCUGGCCAGGUGGUGUGUGGAGGGCAGGCAGAGUGGAUUCAAAAGCACCCUGUCCCUCAUCUCCAUCAUGAAGUACAGCAAGGCUUACCAGGAGCUUAAAGAGAAGUAUAAAGGCAUGGUCAAGGUGUGGCCCGAAGUAACUGAUCCUGAGAAGUUUGUAUAUGAGGAUGUGGCGAUUGCUGCCUACCUGCUGAUUCUAUGGGAAGAAGAGAGAGCUGAGCGCGGACUGACAGCUAAGCAGUCCUUUGUCGACCUCGGCUGCGGGAACGGCCUCCUGGUCCACAUCCUGAGCAGUGAGGGGCACCCAGGCAGAGGGAUUGAUGUCCGCAGAAGAAACAUCUGGGACAUGUACGGACCCCAGACACACUUGGAGGAAGGUGCAGUCACACCGAAUGAUAACACCCUUUUUCCUGAAGCUGAUUGGUUAAUCGGAAACCAUUCCGACGAACUGACACCCUGGAUACCUGUCAUUGCAGCCAGGUCUUCCUACCACUGCCGUUUCUUUGUCCUUCCCUGCUGCUUCUUUGACUUCAUUGGAAAAUACCAGCGGCGGCAGAGCACGAAGACCCAGUACCGAGGAUACCUGGAUUUCCUCACGGAGGUGGGGUCGGCCUGUGGAUUUCGCGUAGAGGAGGACUGCCUUAGAAUUCCUUCUACCAAAAGGGUCUGUCUCAUCGGGAAAUCCAGAACAUACCCAGCUGCUGCAGAAGCUUCCAUGGAUGAGCAGAGGACGCGGUACAUUAGUAGCAGGCGGGGCUGCCCCGUGAGCCCACCUGGCGAGGGUCUCGGAGCCCUGGAAGCCGCGGCCGGACAUGCUCCGGGGGCGCAGGCCAGCCAGCGAGGGACGGAGGCCCGGCCCGAAGGACUCUGGCUGUCUGGGUUUCACCCUAGAGAAAAGGCCGAGCGCGUGAGGAACUGUGCCACCCUCCCUCGAGACUUUAUUGACCAGGUGGUUCUGCGCGUGGCACGUCUGCUCCUGGGCGGGCAGCGGUCAGACGCUGGAAGUGCCCCCCGUGGGGGAGUGGAGGCCUGGAAUCGAGGAGGAACCAUCUGACUGAGCAUCUGAUUCGGAGGCUCUCUGGGCGAAAGCCCUGGCCGGCGCCACCCUGGUCCAGGUGGCUGACCACUUGGGUAACUGCUGACAAGGCCGAGGUGCCAUGGGGUGUUCUGUGGGUCGGCACCCUGCUUCCUAGGUGCCCCUUCUGAGGCGGGCCAGGUGGAAAGGGAGGCCGGCAUGCAGCCCACGGUGAGACCCGCAGGUGAAUCUGAAAGUACGGACUUUGACUUUUAAUUCCCAGGAGAGCCCUGUUGUCCACAAGAUCUUGGGAACAGUGGAGCAGGGGAGGUGCUGGCCUCCUGGAGCGCCUUGUUAGAGGGCACAGACUGGGCUUCUCCCAGGCCCAGGGGAGGUGGCAGUGGCUCUGACUGUUGGGGCUCAGGCCUCCCGCCCCCAGGAGACCUCAGGUGACCGGGUGCCGUCCUCCCCAGGUGGGUACCUGUAAGUCUGGGGAUGGUCCAAGAUGCUCCCGCUGCCCCACAAGGCGUGAGCGGCCUGCCCCCUGGCGCGGACAUGUGCCUUUAGCCUCUGAGCUGCAGGUCUCACCCGCGGUGGUCUUCCCUCCCGCGGUCACUGGAAUUAGUGACUCUUCCCCAGCCUGCCCCCAGACUUGGGACCACCAGUGUUUCUCUGCCCUGCCCAACGUAUGAGUGAGUCCAUCCCUGGGACUCCCUAAUCCCAGGCCUGGUAUCUCCCCUCUGCAAGGCAUGGCUGCCGGGACUCGGGUGGGAGGAGGUGGUCCCUGCCCUCUUGCUGGGGUCAGUAUACACAUGAGUCAAAGGGAGCAGCGGGCAGUGCAGGGCUGCCAGCUCGAGUCCGCACCAUGGAGUUCAUGAGGGGCAGGACCCAGGAGGGUGGGGAAGCCUUUCUGGGCCGAUCUUUUGUUUUCCCUUAGGUGGCCUGCCUCCUCUCAGAAGGGGUUCAAGGCGGCUGAGAGGUGGGCUCGGUAGAUGAGUUACAGCACCUGCCCCAGAGCAGCAGCCUGUGCUGGGGUCUGAGGGCUGGCCCGAUGCAGUGCUGACCCUCCGUGUCUGGGAGGUUCCCCUGCGGGUGUGGCCUGCGCGGCCCGGCAGGUGGGAAGCCCUUGGCCCUCAGGUGUGAUGACUCUGUGCCCACUUCCACCUGUUGUGAGCUGUGACCUGGGUCUAACAAGAUCGUCAUGAUCCUUCUUGUGCAUGAGGAUUUAACUUCAUAGAACUCGGAUUCAGGGCCCCGUUGUUUCUGCCUAUGUAACAGGUUUGUAAUAGACUUUUUGUUGUUGGGGGAUCCCCGUUUUCAACAGGGAGCCUUUCCUUGGCAGAAGUGGCCAGCGAGCUGGACAGGGAGACUCUGCAGAGACUGAAGCGCGAGUGCGGGGGCCUGCAGACGCUGCUGCGGAACAGCCACCAGGUGUUCCAAGUCGUGAACGGGCAAGUUCGCAUCCGCGACUGGA